rnacentral:rRNA from 1 species
CUAUGUUCGGACAGGAUAACCGCUGAAAGCAUCUAAGCGGGAAGCCCCCUUCAAGAUGAGAUCUCACUGGGGCCUUGAGCCCCCUGAAGAGCCGUUCAAGACCAGGACGUUGAUAGGCUGGGUGUGUAAGCGUUGUGAGGCGUUGAGCUAACCAGUACUAAUUGCUCGUGAGGCUUGACCAUA